CGGCGAGUGAAGCGGCAAGAGCUCAAAUUUGAAAUCUGGUACCUUCGGUGCCCGAGUUGUAAUUUGAAGAAAGUAAUCUUGGAGGUGGCCUUUGUCUAUGUUCCUUGGAACAGGACGUCACAGAGGGUGAGAAUCCCGUGCGAUGAGGUGUCCAUUUCCGUGUAAGAUGCUUUCGAAGAGUCGAGUUGUUUGGGAAUGCAGCUCAAAGUGGGUGGUAAAUUCCAUCUAAAGCUAAAUAUUGGCGAGAGACCGAUAGCGAACAAGUACUGUGAAGGAAAGAUGAAAAGAACUUUGAAAAGAGAGUGAAAAAGUACGUGAAAUUGUUGAAAGGGAAGGGUAUUUGAUCAGACUUGGUAUUUAGUUAUCAUUGCUCCUUGUGGGUGGUGCUCUAACUUUUUACUGGGCCAGCAUCAGUUUUGGUGGUAAGAUAAUGACAGUUGAAUGUGGCUCCUCGGAGUGUUAUAGCUUCUGUUGAUGUUGCCUACCGGGACUGAGGUCUGCGGCUUUGCCUAGGAUGCUGGCGUAAUGAUCCAAUACCGCCCGUCUU
rnacentral:rRNA from 1 species